rnacentral:rRNA from 1 species
UACGUAGGGACCAAGCGUUGUUCGGAUUUACUGGGCGUAAAGGGCGCGUAGGCGGCAAUUCAAGUCAGUUGUGAAAUCUCCGAGCUUAACUCGGAACGGUCAACUGAUACUGUUUUGCUAGAGUACAGAAGGGGCAAUCGGAAUUCUUGGUGUAGCGGUGAAAUGCGUAGAUAUCGUAAGGAAGACCAGUGGCGAAGGCGGGUCUCUGGACCAGUUCCUGACGCUGAGGCACGAAGGCCAGGGAGGCAAACGGG